rnacentral:rRNA from 1 species
UACGAAGGGGGCUAGCGUUGCUCGGAAUCACUGGGCGUAAAGCGCACGUAGGCGGACUCUUAAGUCAGGGGUGAAAUCCUGGAGCUCAACUCCAGAACUGCCUUUGAUACUGGGAGUCUUGAGUUCGGGAGAGGUGAGUGGAACUGCGAGUGUAGAGGUGAAAUUCGUAGAUAUUCGCAAGAACACCGGUGGCGAAGGCGGAUCUCUGGGCCUGUCCUGACGCUGAGGUGCGAAAGCGUGGGGAGCAAACAGG